UACGUAGGGUGCGAGCGUUGUCCGGAAUUAUUGGGCGUAAAGGGCUCGUAGGCGGUUUGUCGCGUCGGGAGUGAAAACCUCGGGCUUAACUCGGGGCUUGCUUUCGAUACGGGCAGACUAGAGGUAUGCAGGGGAGAACGGAAUUCCUGGUGUAGCGGUGAAAUGCGCAGAUAUCAGGAGGAACACCGGUGGCGAAGGCGGUUCUCUGGGCCGAUAUUGACGCUGAGGAGCGAAAGCGUGGGGAGCGAACAGG
rnacentral:rRNA from 1 species